AUUGAACGCUGGCGGCAGGCCUAACACAUGCAAGUCGAGCGAGCGGCGGACGGGUGCGUAAUGUCUGGGAAACUGCCUGAUGGAGGGGGAUAACUACUUGAAACGGUAGCUAAUACCGCAUACCAUCAGAUGUGCCCAGAUGGGAUUAGCUAGUCGGGGGGGUAACGGCUCACCUAGGCGACGAUCCCUAGCUGGUCUGAGAGGAUGACCAGCAAAACUGGAACUGAGACACGGUCCAGACUCCGACGGGAGGCAGCAGUGGGGAAUAUUGCACAAUGGGGGCAAGCCUGAUGCAGCCAUGCCGCGGGUGUGAAGAAGGCCGUAGGGUUGUAAAGCACUGUCAGCGGGGAGGCGUUACCCGCAGAAGAAGCACCGGCUAACUCCGUGCCAGCCGCCGCGGUAAUAC
rnacentral:rRNA from 1 species